rnacentral:rRNA from 1 species
CCUACGGGGGGCAGCAGUGAGGAAUAUUGGUCAAUGGACGGAAGUCUGAACCAGCCAUGCCGCGUGCAGGACGACGGCUCUAUGAGCUGUAAACUGCUUUUGUACAAGGGUAAACCUGAAUACGUGUAUUCAGCUGAAAGUACUGUACGAAUAUGGACCGGCUAACUCCGUGCCAGCAGCCGCGGUAAUACGGAGGAUCCAAGCGUUAUCCGGAUUUAUUGGGUUUAAAGGGUGCGUAGGCGGUUUGAUAAGUUAGUAGUGAAAGGUCCGAGCUUAACUCGGGAAAGGCCUCUAAUACUAUUAUACUAGAGAAUAAGUGCGGUAGGCAGAAUGUAUGGUGUAGCGGUGAAAUGCUUAGAGAUCAUACAGAACACCGAUAGCGAAGGCAGCUAACCAAUCUAAAUCUGACGUUGAGGCGCGAAAGCGUGGGGAGCAAACAGGAUUAGAUACCCGAGUAGUC